rnacentral:tRNA from 1 species
CCUCAGAUGACUGAAAUAUAAGUGUUAGACUUUUAAUCUAAAAAUGGUGUCAAUAUUAGGACAUCUCUGGGGG